CAGGAAUAUCCGUGAAGACUGGCUCCGGUUUCAAAAGGUGAGUCUUUGGCUCCUGCUGUAACUGAGGGGCGUCUUGCUGCAGUAUCAGAGUGAACUCUUGAYUGCCUGUUGGAGUUU
rnacentral:lncRNA from 1 species